UACGUGGGGGGCAAGCGUUGUCCGGAUUUACUGGGCGUAAAGAGCGCGCAGGCGGUCGAAUAAGUCGAAUGUGAAAGCCCCCGGCUUAACUGGGGAGGGUCAUUCGAUACUGCUCGACUUGAAGGCAGGAGAGGGUAGUGGAAUUCCCGGUGUAGUGGUGAAAUGCGCAGAUAUCAGGAGGAACACCGAUGGCGAAGGCAGGUCUCUGGGCAUUAACUGACGCUGAGGAGCGAAAGCAUGGGGAGCGAACAGG
rnacentral:rRNA from 1 species